rnacentral:lncRNA from 1 species
CUGUUGGGAUUCGUGAGUUAUGGGGCAUGCAUGUGUGUUUUAAAAUUUUAUUUUUUAAAUACCAUAGUAGAAUAUAAGAUUAAAAUAUUUUUAAUCUGAAUCAUGCAUGCAUAAAAAUAUAAAACCAUAAAGAUCUAGUUCAUAUGCUGAAAUUGUAUAUAUACUAAAAUUCAGAUUGUAAUCAAAUCGCAUAUCUGUUUCACAAUCUCUUUCUUCAAAUAUAGAUCUGAAAGAGAAGAGAUUUUCUUCUAGCUACACAAGUAUUCGACCUCUAUGGGUAUCCACUCA